GCGGCGGUGUUAAACGCGGGCAGACCACGCGCCUUUAUUAAAAUCAAUUAGUAAAUUGUCUCAUUAACGGCGGUGCUUCACGUGCGUGCGCCGUAUCCGCUCCGGCAUCAGAUCCCGGUACUAAACGGCAUUUUCCCUCUACUCGGAUUUCUGAAGAGCUCUUGAGAUGCGAUAAAAACGGAAGGAAGCAGUGAUGCGCAAGGACGAAGGAGGAGGAGGAUCCCACUAUUCGACCCCAACCCAUCUUACACACCCCCCACAGGGAACACACACCCGUGUUUGAAGAUGAUGGGUUCCAUGACAAUUUGACCAAUUAUUUUAAACCAAUUCAGCGGUUCGCAGCAAUUAUUAGCAGCCAGGUCUGUAGCGCAAAUCACAGUCCCUUCUUCGUAACUCGGGAAUUGAGGUAAACUGCCUGCGCGUGGGAGGCAAGGAGCGGGAGGACGCGGAGACGCCGACGCGGGGAUCCCGCGGGCAGAGCGCGCGUCCGCCCGGUGCCGUGGAGCUGAACGUGCGCGCGCGGCCUUGGAGCGGUGACACAGUGAGCGCGCACGGGCACAGGAGCAACUUAUCUGCAGCCACAGAUACAGACGCG
rnacentral:lncRNA from 1 species